ensembl:lncRNA
GUUAUUCCCAAAUACGAGUUUAUGAAUAGUGGCAAAAAGGAGAUAGCAUUUUAAAUGUGAAGUUUGCCAUCCUUACUGGCAGUUGCACUAGCAGAAGAAAUGCUAUAUACAAAUACUAUACUUUAAUGAAGAACUCAAAGGAAACCGAAGGUUGCAUUUGAUAAAUUGCGUGGGCAGUGAACACUGCUCUUGAUAAAUUAUUCAUAAACCAGCAAGAGAGUACUGAGUUUGCCAUAACCAUCAGAAAGGUCAUUCACUCGUACUAGCAGGAAUGAGUGCUGGGUGAAGCAGUUUGUGGCUUCAGAUAACACCAUGCUGUCCCUCCAGUGGACUCACUUUGAUGAAAUUGUAUGAAGAACCUGAUUUAAAGCAUGUGCAAGAGACAUGGUCAUAGAUGUGGAGGAAGCUGAAGAAAAGAGCUGUCAGUAUGCUGUGAGGAAACGAACAGUGUGUAUUGUUCACAGAGGUUCGGCUUUACUGAAGAAUAUAUCCAGAAAAUAUUAGAGGAGUCAGAGGUCACUCUUUUACGCCAUUGCCUCAAAGCUUGCUGAGGAACAAAUUCAAGCAAGUCCUCACCAAGGACUGGGAAAUCCUUUGUCUGGAGGGGCAACAGAUGGACAAGGCCAGAGGCAACGAGAGAGAGAUAAGUGGCAGCUAAAUGGCCAGGAAACAGUCUUUUGUGUGGACUUAUCUCAAGAGAGACAGCCGUCUUACGGGGUGCGCACAUGACUAUUAUCCAAGUGCCCAGGAAUGUCACGUAGGCAGGGAAGAAGGAGGAUAAAAGAGGGUCCAACAAACAUGAAGGCAGGUGUCUGCCAUGAGAUCCCCCGCUACGAAAGGCCUGUAUGCUGACGGACUCUCCAGGGGCCUGCUACUGGACACCUGCUGCUUCCGCCCGGGCUUCUUCCUGGCCCAAGACCGGCCAUGCUGCUGCUGCUGCUGCUGCUGCUGCUGCUGCUGCUGCUGCUGCUGCUGCUGCUCUUCCCCUGCGCUUUUGCCCCGGGCCGUCGGAACGUCAUGGAACAGGACUACUGCCGGAUCCUGGUGAUCAGCUCCUCACAUUCAGGAAUUAGAUCACCUGCUUGAAUCUGAAUUUUCACCAGCAUCACCCAGCUGUUAUAUUCCUGCCAUCACCCCACUCUCCUGGUCUGCAGCUGUCUAACAGGAAGGAAAUUGAGCUCCAGAUCUUGGUUGGUUUAUCUCAGGCACAUGAAGAUCCAGUAAGAAAGUCUUAAAAGUUUAUGCUACAUUUGGGCGUACUGGAUUUUCUAAUGGUUUUGAACAGCAUUUUGUAACCUCUGCAGUCCUGGAUGGAGCAGAACAGUUAAUCCAG